rnacentral:rRNA from 1 species
CACGUAGGAGGCGAACGUUAUCCGGAUUUACUGGGCGUAAAGCGCGUGUAGGUGGUUUGUUAAGUAGGGCGUGAAAGCUCCCGGCUCAACUGGGAGAGGUCGCUCUAAACUGGCAAGCUAGAGGAUGGAAGAGGGAGGUGGAAUUCCGGGUGUAGCGGUGGAAUGCGCAGAUAUCCGGAGGAACACCAGUGGCGAAAGCGGCCUCCUGGUCCAUUCCUGACACUCAGACGCGAAAGCUAGGGUAGCAAACGGG